rnacentral:rRNA from 1 species
GACAGAGGAUGCAAGCGUUAUCCGGAAUGAUUGGGCGUAAAGCGUCUGUAGGUGGCUUUUUAAGUCUGCCGUCAAAUCCCAGGGCUUAACCCUGGACAGGCGGUGGAAACUACCAAGCUGGAGUACGGUAGGGGCAGAGGGAAUUUCCGGUGGAGCGGUGAAAUGCGUUGAUCUACAGAGGAACACCAAAAAAGGCGAAGGCAGCCAACUAUUCUGUUCCUGACAUUGAGGCAUGAAAGCGUGGGGAGCAAACCGG